GCUAAUUUUGGACUUUUAACUUUUAGGGCAUACCCAGUUAAGCAACGUUGAGCGUGGAUAGUACUUGGAUGGGUGACCGCUUGGGAACACCACGUAACGUUGGCG
rnacentral:rRNA from 1 species